rnacentral:rRNA from 1 species
GACGAACGCUGGCGGCGUGCUUAACACAUGCAAGUCGAACGGAAAGGCCCUGCUUUUGUGUGGUGCUCGAGUGGCGAACGGGUGAGUAACACGUGUGUAACCUGCCCUUGACUUUGGGAUAUCUUCAGGAAACUGGGGCUCAUACCGGAUAGGAGCUCCUGCUGCAUGGUGGGGGUUGGAAAGUUUCGGCGGUUGGGGAUGGACUCGCGGCUUAUCAGCUUGUUGGUGGGGUAGUGGCUUACCAAGGCUUUGACGGGUAGCCGGCCUGAGAGGGGGACCGGCCACAUUGGGACUGAGAUACGGCCCAGACUGCUACGGGAGGCAGCAGUGGGGAAUAUUGCACAAUGGGCGGAAGCGUGAUGCAGCAACGCCGCGUGCGGGAUGACGGCCUUCGGGUUGUAAACCGAUUUCGCCUGUGACGAAGCGUGAGUGACGGUAAUGGGUAAAGAAGCACCGGCUAACUACGUG